rnacentral:lncRNA from 1 species
CAGCUGCCCUGGGUACACCAGUGUGUCAAGACCUGGAUGGCCAAGGCGGAUCUCACUCUGAGGGCUAUUUUCUUUUUGUGGGAGGUGGUGUGUUGAGAGCAGUGGUGUUUGGGACGGGUUAUGCCCGGCUCACGUUUAUUCCCUUCAGCAACGGGGCCUUGGGCGAGUCCCAGACCCCCCUGAGGGCCGCGCUAGGCCGCUCCCGGCGGACCCGCUCCCGCCCGACCGCCCCGCGCCGCCGCCGCCGCUUGUGACGGACCCGGCCGCGCGCCGCCUUCCCGCUUCCUCCCCAUUGGUCCGCCGCCCCGCCGCGCCGGUAGCAACAGCGACAAAUAUAUCCUGCCGCCUUCUGAUUGGCUGCCCCCUCCCGCCGAGCCAUAGCAACAGGGGAGCGGGGCGCGCGGCGCCUGAGGGGGCGCGCGGUGGCCGUUGGCGGCUCGUGAGGGGCGCAGCGAGCGGGGCCGCCUUGGCUGAGGGGGCCUCGGGGCUCCGCCGGAGAGGGGGGGAAAAAAUAACGCUUCUGCCGCAGGAGGCAGCUACACCCGGCGCUGCUACCGCUGCUGCCGGUAGGCAAAAGGUACCGCCAUCCUCGCCAAGCCGCCUUAAAUCCGUUUACCAGGCGUUUGUGCUGCGGUGGGCAAGAGCCGCCGCUCCUCUGCGGCCUGUGGUGGAGAGAAAACACGACCCUGUCAUGCGCCAGCUCGCCAAACGGCUUUCAUGCAGAAGCUGCAGCCCGGUAGCAAAAUUCACGCUGGAUCGUGAUAGAUUUUUGUGUGAGAUCCCAAAUCAGAUCCGUGGCGCCGCUAUUAUGGCUGAAGAUCCAGACACUGCACACGCAGGAGAAUAUAGGUACUCUCCCACAGACCUUCUGUGAGUGAAAUGCAGCCUCUUCACUUUCUUUAGGUUACAGUCAGACUGUGGAAAUGCUGCAUACAAGGUUGCCUUAUUUUAGUUCCUUUCCUUGCAACUGUUGCAUUUGUAUCUGGUUUUAGAGCAAUGAGGUUACCUAUCACCUUACGGGCUCAAGGUUAAGAAAUUUUGAGCUGCUUUAAACUGAGAAAUAGCCAUUAUAUAGAAGCUUCAAGUAAAAAACCCAGAAGCAUUUAAUGAGAUUUUUGUGUGUGUGUGUAGAUAUACGCAUAUAUAUUUGGCAGAUUAAUGCAGAUUGUCUGGUUCAGUGGGUGAAUAACUGGUUUUAAAAAUACUUCAUAAUCUGUUUCCCUCGGGAGUCUGAAACUUCCGUACGAGCCUAGAGAGCUUUUGGGAGACCCUACGGAUUUUCAGGGCUGUCGGAGCCCUUUGCAGAAUGACUAAUCUCGGCUGAGAAGUCACUGUAACUGCGGGGUUUCCAAACUGGGGAAGGGUAUUGGGCACUUUGGGUUGGCCCAUCUCUCACUGCUCUUGCAUAAGUGUUACAUACAUCAAAAUCUAUAUUUUUACAUUGAAUCAUACCUUUUCAAGAACACGUUCCUGCUGUCCAUAGAUAAAACUUUAUCCUUAGGUAAAAUGUAACGCGCUACUGAUGAGUGAUACUUGGGAUCCAUUCCGUUUGGG